GAUGAACGCUGGCGGCGUGCUUAACACAUGCAAGUCGAACGGUGAACGAGGGAGCUUGCUCCCUCCGGAUCAGUGGCGAACGGGUGAGUAACACGUGAGCAAUCUGCCCUGGACUCUGGGAUAAGCGUUGGAAACGACGUCUAAUACCGGAUACGAGGCGUGGGGGCAUCCCCAACGCCUGGAAAGAACUUCGGUCCAGGAUGAGCUCGCGGCCUAUCAGCUUGUUGGUGAGGUAACGGCUCACCAAGGCGACGACGGGUAGCCGGCCUGAGAGGGUGACCGGGCACACUGGGACUGGGACGCGGACCCGACGCCUACGGGAGGCAGCAGUAAGGAAUAUUGGUCAAUGCCCGGAAGGGUGAACCAGCCAUGCCGCGUGAAGGAUGACGGCCCUCUGGGUUGUAAACUUCUUUUGGAUAGGACGAAAAAACGUCAUUUAUGAUGGACUGACGGUACUAUCAGAAUAAGCACCAGCUAACUCCGCGCCAGCCGCCGCCGUAAAAC
rnacentral:rRNA from 1 species